rnacentral:lncRNA from 10 species
AACAUAUUCCUGGUUGAGUAUUCAGGUGAUGUGACACUCCUGUUUGGUCCCUGCCUUCAGAAAAGAUUGUGAUGUACUCCUGGCCAAAAACCCAGGUGAUGUGACUCUUAUCUCUCCCUAUUCACAGAGACAUGGUUUCAGCAUGUUGGCCAGGCUGGUCUCGAGCUCCGUACUUCAAGUGAUCUGCCUGCCUCAGCCUCGCAAAGUUCUGGGAUUACAGGCAUGAGCCACCGUGCCCGGCCACAAGUGUGGUGGUGACUCUCAUACCUCAAACCAGCCAAUAGGAGAGAUCCUGUUUCUUAUAGCUAGGCUUAAAAUCAUGAGUAUGGUCAUGGGUCUUCUUGUACGAAGGUCCUAGAGAAAUACCACUUUCUUUUAUACUAUAUAAAUCUCUUACUGUACAGAGAUUGCCAUUCCAGCGUUCAGAACACAGGUGAGAUUGUGUUUCUCAUAUGCAUACCCCAGCAAACAUUAAAAUUGUCAUCUUCACACAUGGACAGGGUCCACUGGUAAGUCCUGAAUCUCACACAUGGAAAAAAUCCACAGUUGAAAUUGUGACUGUCAUAUAUGAACAUCCGGCCAGAGUUGAAAUCAUGAGUCAUUUCUAAAUUCAGUUUAUAGGCAAGUGAGAAUUUUUCUAUCUGAACCUGAGAGAAUAAAAGGUGGUUUUGAAUUAGACAAAAUAGAGCUAAAAGUUCAAACAAAUGGUGGAAGGAUUGUAAAAAUCUUGCAAAGAAUUCCAUGUGUGGUUAUAUUGACUAAAUUCAAAAAGGUACUACAUGGUUUUUCUGUAAAUAAAAAAUUGAAAUAAAAGCACAACAAGGUACUCGUAAUGCACUAAUCUGCUUUUUAGCAAACUUUGUUAACGGUUAUAACAGAUUGUUGCUUCUUUAAAAUUUUGGAGUCAUUGUAACAAAAUAAAUAAUUUAGGAUAAUCUGAAAUUCUAUUUUAUAACAUCAAGUGUUUCAAAUCUCUAACACUUAACAUGCUUCCCAAAAUCAUACUUUAGUUUCA